CCUACGGGAGGCUGCAGUGGGGAAUAUUCCACAAUGGGCGAAACCCUGAUGCAGCGACGCCGCGUGAGUGAAGAAGUAAUUCGUUAUGUAAAGCUCUAUCAGCAGGGAAGAACAUGACGGUACCUGAGUAAGAAGCCCCGGCUAACUACGUACCAGCAGCCGCGGGCAUACGUAGGGGGCAAGCGUUAUCCGGAUUUACUGGGGGUAAAGUGAGCGUAGACGGCAGUGCAAGUCUGGAGUGAAAGGCGGGGGCUCAACCCCCGGACUGCUCUGGAAACUGUACGGCUGGAGUGCAGGAGAGGUAAGUGGAAUUCCUAGUGUAGCGGUGAAAUGCGUAGAUAUUAGGAGGAACACCAGUGGCGAAGGCGGCUUACUGGACUGUAACUGACGUUGAGGCUCGAAAGCGUGGGGAGCAAACAGGAUUAGAUACCCGGGUAGUC
rnacentral:rRNA from 1 species